ACAAUUGCUAGCGCUAGCUGUUCUUGCAAGCUGAUCAAACUUGAAAUAAUAUGGGAAACUACACUUCUUGCUGUGCUGUUGUUACCCUCUCAAGUAAACCUAAGACUGCAAAACUUAUAAAUUCUCAGGGAAACUUAAGGCAAGUAAGUCUCCCGGUAAAAGCUGCAGAGCUCAUGCUUGAAGAACCUGGCCAUGUCAUCGCUCCAGUAGAUGAGCUGAAGCAAAGGAGUCGUACAAUAGCCAUGCGAGCUGACGAUGAGCUUCUGCCUGGAAAGGUAUACCUGUCAGUUCCUUUAAGUAAGGCAAACUGUAAAAUUUCUGCGUCGGAGUUGGCAAUCAUUGAGUCUACCAUAGCUGCUUGUGCGAAAAGGUCGAGCAAGAAGAGAAGUGGUGCUAAGGUUUUGCCUGCUAUGGCCGUGGACUUGUGGGAGGAGAAGGGAUCAGAGAGUGGGGUUAAGGUCUUGGAAGGAAAUGAUACGAGCUCUACCAGUUACCGGUUAGUGAAUUAUAGGCAGUGGACUCUGGCGUUGGAGCCGAUACCGGAGGAGUUUUGACCACAGAUGAACCUUUUUUCUUUCUAGCUAAGGUUUAGAGUUUUUUUAGAGAAAAAUCGAUACAUUGUUGUACACUUGAGAUGCAAAGGUAGGGGGUUAUUCAGUUAGGAAAUUAAGAAAUAUAUAUGUUCAUAUGGUUUUCUAAGAAAAAUUGAUAAAUUGUACACAAGACUUGCACAAAUAUUAGCGGCCUUCGUUGAUGAACUUGAGACAGAAAAAAAUCAUCAUUGCAAAUUCUUAGCAGUUGCUCAACAACUGCAUUCAAUUCAUUGCAGCUUUUCAAUGAUCCCAGUUGAGUACUGUUAGAACACAGACCUGAUGAAGAUUUCAAUCUUGUCCUUUCCUUUCCUAUAAACUUCUUUAAUUUGGCUUCCUCGUAUCAUAAACACGUCGGUAGUGAAGGUGUGAGUUGAACUUUAAGCGCGUGAGGGAAGGCUAAUUUGAUGGCUUAAAAACUCUCUAAUUUGUCCGUUCUGCCCUAUGCAGGUAAAAAACUGCCACAGGUAGGGGCGAACCCAUAAUCAUGUUUAAGAAUUUAUUUGAAUGUUUCAUCUUGAAUUUUACAACACAUGUUAACCUUGUCUAUUUAAGAACUCACGAGUUGUACUGAUUAGACUUAAAUAAAUUUAAAUCUUAAGAUGGAAUGAUUAUUUUUAUUAUUACUUAUAAUAAAAAUUAGAUUUUUGAUAUGAUAUUAUUAAUUUUCAAGUUAGGCUCGUCUAAUAGUAAUAUUUUUUUUUCAUAAAAUACAUUCCAUGAACUAUAUUAUUUUCCAAUUAUGUUGUAUUAAGUGUCUAUUAAAAAAAUAUAUGAUUGUUAUCUUGUAGCCGUAUAUGUCAUUAAGAACGUUUUAUUAUUUGCAAUAUAUCACCAUUUAGACUUAGAAUAUUGAAAAGUUUGCCAUCUGUCAUACGAUAAUAAGCAUGGGAAAGAAAAUAAAUAGUAAAAAAAGAGCGGUUGUUAAUAAUAAUAAUAAAAAAGUACAAAUAAUUACAAAAUUGUAGACGAAUAUACACAGGCUCUACGAGAUUAAUCAAAUUAAGGGUUUGAAUUUUGGGUGAGUAAUUCAAAAUGAAAUGAAUGCAUUUAUUAAUAUACAUUUUAUGCAGAGGUUUCAGGGGCGUAAAUAAAACGUGUGCUGGGGCCAUAUCCUCUCCAAAAUCUUUCCCAUUUCUAUAUAUUAUUUUUAUUUCCAUAAAUAUAAUUAUCAAAUUUCUAUAAAUUUCUUCGUUAAAACUUGAUUUAGUGAGCCACAUGUCACAAUUCUGAGAAGCCUCUGCCUGAAUAGUUAUCUAUGUGGAUCCAGGAUUACACCCACUGUAAAACACAUCAGAUUUAUACAAGGUCGAUGAUAGUACAAGGACCUGAUUGCGUUUCUUAGAAUAAAUAGGCCCAAUGUGCCAAAACUGAAAUUGUUGAGGGAUGGAAGAUGCCAUUACACCGAAUCUUAACGCACCUUAUCAGACCCGCUCACCUUUGUUUUACAUGUCAAAGCGUGAAGUGCACCUCUUCCCAUGUGGAAAAUUUCUCCAAUUUCAUAUGCUGCCACGUCGUCUUGUAAGUUUCUUGGAUUGAAAAUGUUGUCAGCCAACCUGGCAGAGUUGACUGAGCCAGGGUCUCGAAGCAUUGGAUAGCACCAACAACUACAUCUAAAUGGAUAUGGAUGAGAGACGAAGACGACAGUGGGUGUAAGGGCCAGAUGGUAUUAUGGGUUAAUUACAACAUUACAUUACAUUACAACAUAUUCUAAAUGGGGUUGGGAAUCACUGUUUCCCAACACAAAACAUGGCAGAUUACUGCAGUGUUUUCUUUUCUUUUUUUUUUUGGCUAACUUUUGUCUUCUUUUUUUUUUCGUUUUUUUUUGGUUUUUUUUUUGAAAAUUACUUUUUUUUUUCAACUUUCCUAUUUUUUCUUUUUUUCAUUUAUUUUUUCUUUUGUUUUUUCCAAAAUUAUUUUUUUUAUUUUACUUUUUAAAUAUUGACCUGGUUAAAAUUUCUGCUUUGUAAUUUUUUUCUUUAAAAUACUGUGGAUUGCUACAAUGUUUUUCCAUAUAAUUUUUCUAUUUUAUUUCUUUAUUUUUCAAAAUUAUAUUUGUUGAUUUUUUUUAAUAUGGAGCUGAUUGAGAAUUUAGUUUUGUAAUUUUUUUUCUUUUAAACAUCGUCGAUUGCUACAGUGUUUCUCCGCAUGGUUUUUUUUUAUAAUUUUCUCCGAAAUUUUUUUUUUAUUUUAUUUUUUAAUAUUGAGCUGGUUAAAAAUUACAGUUACAAUAUGUGAGGAAAACACUAUAACUUUCCUCGAAAAUUACUGUUGAUUGCUACAGUGUUUUUUCCCACAUGGUUUUUUUCUGUUUUUGUUAUGUUUUUUCCUAAAAUUAUCUUUGUCAAUUUUAUUUUUUUAAUAUUAAGCUGGUUAAGAAUUGCAAUUACAAGUAAAUACAAGUUUUUCCUUACAAAACACUAUGGAUUGAUACAGUUUUUUCUCACAUGGUUUUUUUUCAUUUUCUUUUUUUGUAAUAUUUUUUUCCAAAAUUAUCUUCGUCGAUUUUAUUUUUUUUAAUAUUGAGUUGGUUAAAAUUUAACUUUGUAAUAAAGCUUAAUCAUGUGAGGAAAGCAUUGUAGCUUUGCUCAUAGAACAUUGUGGAUUGCUACAGUGUCCUCUCCGUAUAGUUUUUUUUUGUUAUAAUUUUUUUCAAAUUAUCUUUUUCAAUUUUAUUUUUUUAAUAUUGAGUUGUUUGUGAAUUACAAUUACAAGUCAUUACAAAUAAGACUAAAUCAUGUGGGGAAGCACUGUAACUUUCAUCACAAAACACUGUGAAUUGCUACAGUGUUUCCAACAUGAUUUUUUUUCUUUUGUUGGUGUUUGUUUUGUUAUUUUUUUUUUCUAAAAUUGUCUCUGUUGUUUUUUUUUUAAUAUUGAGCUGAUUAAGAAUUUAGCUUUGUAAUUUUUUUUUAUAUUUAAAACACUGUGAAUUGUUGCAGUGUUUUUCCAUGUGAUUUUUUUAUGAUUUUUUUCCAAAAUUAUCUUUGUCGAUUGUUUUUUAAAUAUUGAGUUGGUUAAGAAUUAUAAUUACAAUAAAGUUAAAUCAUAUGAGGAAAGCGUUGUAGUUUUUCUCACAAAACACUGUGGAUUGCUACAAUAUUUCUCUAAAUGGUUUUUUAUUUUAUUUUAUUGGGAAAAAUGCUAUAGUUUUCCUCACAAAACAUUGUCAAUUGCUGCAACUUUUUUCUCAUGGGUUUUUUUCCUUCCAAAAUUAUCUUUAUUGGUUUUUUUUUUAAUAUUAAGUUGGUAGAGAAUUUAACUUUGUAAUUUGUUUUCCUUUUUAUUAACUGAAAAGCUAAAUCAUGUGGCGAAAACACUAUAUUUUUCCUCACAAAACACUGUAGAUUGCUACAAAUCAUUUUGUUCAGUCUUUAAGUUUUUGAUCACCAACACAACGUUUUUUUCCGUCAUGAAAUAUUUGCUCCAUCAUACCUUUAAUUUCUAUUACUUAUCUAGCAUUGGUUCAUAAUUAUAACACUAUCAAGUACAUUUAUUUUAUAAGCCCGCGGCAACGCGCGGGCAUGUCAUCUCGUAUGAGCUAAGAGUUAUCCACGUGACUUUUGUUUUGUCAAACUGGCUUGGUGCUACAAUCUAUCACUAAAGAAAUAGCUAUGCCAUUUCAGUCCUUUUAUUUUUAUGUUUUAAAAAUAUAUUUAAAUUUUUUUUUCAUGUUUAAAAAGAUUUUAACUUGACUCAUAGUAGAGUAUAGACGACUAUCUGGUAAAAAAAAACACUAAAAUUAUAGGCAUUUUCACCGUACACACAAAAAAUUCAUUGUUUUUUCCCUUUCUAUGAAAAAUCAAAUGCGAGUAUAUCUUUUUGCAUGACACAUUAGUUCUUAAAGGUUUGAUCGAUAAUAUAUAUAUCUUUUUAGUUUUUUAAGUAUAGUUAAAUGAUUACUCUUUAAGUUAAAAAAUUUAAAAUCAGCAAAGAGAGGUAUUUUUAUCUUUUUAUUUUUAAAUACAGUAAAAUAACAAAUUUACUCUUGAAAUAAAAAAAUAAACUAUGUAUCCAAGGGCCUUUAGGUCUUUUUAGUAGGUUUUUUUUUGUUAUUAACAAAUUCAUAAGAAGCAAUUUGAUCCUUUACUAAAGGUGAAUUAUUAUUGAAAUGGAAAAAGCAUCUGACGUGUGCAAGGGAGGUGCCUGUGCACUUUAGGUAGUGCAUGCAGUGUCUUCUAGUGGCCAAAAAUGCUUUUCCUUCAUGUUGUUGGAAGCACCACUGCAUUAUUUUUCUGUUAAUAUGACAUGUGUUAGCGGUGGUUGAACGAGUUAUCAUUAUCGGAUCUUAUUCUUUUUUAUUUCUAAUUCUUUUAAUUUUUUUUAAAUUUUUUUAUUAGUUUUCAAUUUCAUCCUCCAAUCUAUGAUAUAUUAUUCUUUUCUAAUUUGAUUUUCAUUCUUUUGAUUUUAUUAUCCUUUUAUUAAAGUUAUUUUUCUUUUCAAUUUCACCCUCCACUAAAAAGAAUUUAUGGUUGCCCUCUAAUUUUUUUUUAUUUUGAUUUUAAUUUUCAUUCUUUUAAUUUCUUUUAAUUUUGAAUCAUUUUUUGUAGUUGCUUUUUUUUUAUUUUUUUCUUUAAUAUUUGACUUGUUAGGGAUUCGGUUUUAUAGGUUUUUUAUGUACGAUAUUUCUAGUCUUAUAACUUAAGUUAUGGGUUAAACUUUUUUUGAAAAAAUUCAUUAUUUAAUGGACAUAACCCCAUCAAAUAUAAUCUCAAAUGGACCAAAAUCACACGAAGACAAUUUCAACUUUUUAAUCUCAAACACUUGAAAUUCAAAGAAGCUUGAAUCCAUUUAUUACUCUUUCAAUUUCAAUUUCUAGUCCUUUGUUUUUUUUAUCUAAUUAAAAAAAUAGCUUAUUUAACCACUCAGGGCUAUAAAUCAAGCCGCAGUGUUUUUAUAUAUUUUUUUAAAUAUAUUUGCAAUACCUUAAAUAUCAUUUUUUUUUUAAAAAAAGUUAAAGCUAACCAGCGGCGUAGAUUAGUGUGCAAAGCAAAGUCAGUAUUUAUAGUUAACGUUCAAGUUUCAAGCUCAUUUUUCAAUAAUUUAUGUGGUAAUUGCAAGGAGGACUUUUCUUCUUCUCUUUGGUAAUAAUUCUAGUGGUGCCAUGUGGCUUCUUCGCACAAGGCCGAAACAAAAACAAAGGACAAAAAUCAGCACCAUUUUCACGCCUAAAUAAUGACCAAAAUAGAAAAAUAAAUGCGUGUUUUUGUUCCAACUCCCAGCUGGGCAGCCUCUUUCUCUCUGUUCCCCACAACUCCCGAGCUCCCGAGUCCCGUCAACACAUAAUACUCUUCUUUUACACUCUUUUGACCGUCCACUCUUUUACUUGACUCCUCCUCUUCUUCUUCACUCUCUUUCUCUCUCUAUAUAUAUAGGCUCCUUCCCCCCUAUCCAAUGACCUAAGAAAUUAACCAGAAAGAAACACCAUCACAAUUGCUAGCGCUAGCUGUUCUUGCAAGCUGAUCAAACUUGAAAUAAUAUGGGAAACUACACUUCUUGCUGUGCUGUUGUUACCCUCUCAAGAAAACCUAAGACUGCAAAACUUAUAAAUUCUCAGGGAAACUUAAGGCAGGUAAGUCUCCCGGUAAAAGCUGCAGAGCUCAUGCUUGAAGAACCUGGCCAUGUCAUCGCUCCAGUAGAUGAGCUGAAGCAAAGGAGUCGUACAAUAGCCAUGCGAGCUGACGAUGAGCUUCUGCCUGGAAAGGUAUACCUGUCAGUUCCUUUAAGUAAGGCA
rnacentral:lncRNA from 1 species